CAGGUACGAGAAUAGGGGGUAACAGGAGAAAUGGGACCCAAGAGGGGUGAGGAAAAUUCUGAGCUCAGUCUUCACUCUCUCUUUGGUCCCCAGAUUCAGUAUGUCCCUGUAUCUCCAGGACAA
rnacentral:precursor_RNA from 15 species